rnacentral:rRNA from 1 species
GUCUACGGCCAUGCCACCCUGAACAAGCCCGAUAUCUGAUCUCGGAAGCUAAGUAGGGUCGGGCCUGGUUAGUACUUGGAUGGGAGACCAGCUAGGAAGACCAGGUGCUGCAGGCA